AUUGAACGCUGGCGGCAGGCCUAACACAUGCAAGUCGAACGAGUGGCGGACGGGUGAGUAAUGUCUGGGAAACUGCCCGAUGGAGGGGGAUAACUACUGGAAACGGUAGCUAAUACUGCAUACACUCGUAUGUGCCCAGAUGGGAUUAGCUAGUAGGUGGGGUACCGGCGCACCUAGGCGACGAUCCCGAGCUGGUCUGAGAGGAUGACAAGCCACACGGGAACUGAGACACGGUCCAGACUCCUACGGGAGGCAGAAGUGGGGAAUAUUGCACAAUGGUCGCAAGCCUGAUGCAGCCAUGCCGCGUGUAUGAAGAAGGCCUUCGGGUUGUAAAGUACUUUCAGCGGGGAGGCGUUACUCGCAGAAGAAGCACCGGCUAACUCCGUGCCAGCAGCCGCGGUAAUUC
rnacentral:rRNA from 1 species